UUUUAUCUGGGUUGCUAACUCAAUGGUAGAGUACUCG
rnacentral:tRNA from 1 species